AAAUUUUCAAAGGAAUAGGGAUAUGAAUCCUCCUUUGCAUACCUGAUAAUUCCACCCAAAAAGAUUUCUAAAUGCUUUGGUUCAAGAAGAGGGACAGUACCAAAUUUUCUAAUUGAAAGGCCUGAAGAGUGGAUGAUCUAAAAAAAGGUUUAACAGAGAAGAGAAGAACCGUGGAAAGCGUAUCAAUGAUAUAGUGGGAUCCCAAUAUAGCGGAUGUAGAUCUAAACUGAAAUUCCUCAACUACUAGAAUUAUAAUUAGCGGAGACAUGGUUUACAAAGAGGAGAAAAACC